rnacentral:sRNA from 1 species
AAUAAAAAAAUGAAUUAAAAAAGUCAGCAGUAAGGAAGAUAAUUAAGUAAAUAUUACUAAGUAAAGUCUGUUAUAGGAAAGAAAUUUUGACAUAUUUCUUCAUCAUGGGGUCAGCACAGAAGAUGAUGUGUCUUCAUUUCUUCUCACAAAAAAGUGGAAGCAGUUAAAAGUGUGUGUACAUGUAUGUGCUUCUGCACUAAAUAUUAUUAACCAUAAAAGGGGACUUCCAGUAAGAUAUCCAUGAUAAAAGAUAUAGAUGCGGGUUUGUCUUUUAAUCUCUCCCUUCCUCACAGAUUCCUGCCAGUGAUAUCGUUAUCAGACUCAAACAUGGGGAUGAUUUUGUCAGAGGCUUUAAUUAUAUUUCCCAUCAAAGUCUCAUUGAGCAGUUUCAUUAACUUUUGCUUCCUGGGACACCUUAGAGGACAAAUGAUUCUCUAGUCUCAGUUGCUCAUCACUAAUAUCAGGAAAUAUAUGCUUCACUCCCCUGGACAGAUUCUUCUGAACUUGGAUAUGUGCUGUGGGAAGAAAAGUGAGAGGGCUAGGCCCAGGUCUUUUCAAAUCUUCAAUAUGGAUGGCUCUUCCUGAAUCAGGCAUCUCUGACCCAAAUCAGAUCCACUGGCUUUGCUGUCACCUGCCAAUAGCUGAAGAUGUGCGGUUUCUCCAACUGACGAGUCUUGUGGAAGUUCCUACUGCCUUCAAGAUGCUGAAAUGAGAUAUGGUAAUUCUGGGACUAUUUCCAUUUCUGACUUGGGGAUACUAAGUUUGAGUUCACUCAGGUGAGUGACUUUAAAGAAGUGGCUUUUCAGGGAAGCACAUACAAGUCCAAUAGGUACCAAGACAUCUUGCCACUGACCUUCAUGUACAACAGCAGCUCAGUGUUGUCAGGAGUUCUAGUCUUGAAGGACCAUAGAGGCUCCUGUGAACGAUUAUUACUGUACGUAGGCCAUUUCAAUAGGUGGUGAUGGGUCAAGUAUUCUAUGAAUUUUUGUUUUGCUCAGAUUGAGGGCAGUUGCUGAGUGUCGGGAAAGAGAGAGAACGUUACCUACUUCAUGAGUUGGUCCAAUUCCUUUAAAGCCAAGGGGCAGAAACUUCAGUUUUUGGCUCUCCUUAAAGAUUUUGCUUUUUUUGGGUAUCUGUAAGUAAAUGUUCAAGAGAAAAAGAAAUUUCCAAAAUUUUUCCUGAAUAUGUCCCAGGGUUCUGUACUAGUUUUUCUUGUAAGAAUUUACUUCUGACACACUACUUAUUGUUCUAAGUAGAACACUUAAUAAUACAAAUUUUAGAAAGUCAAAGCAUAUUUACUGAGCACAUGUUAUGUGCCAGGUUUUGUGCUAAGCACUUUAUAUGCUUUGUGCUGUUCUGUCCUUAAAACAACUUGGUGAUGGAGUGUUAAUUAUAUUCCUCCUAUUGAGAAUGGGUAAUCAAUUUUUAUUUGUUUCCUUCUUCAGCCAUUGAAGUAGUAAUAUUGACAUGUGUCAUGAUAAUUGGAGACAAGGUAGAAGCCUUAAAUUUCUAAACCUAAGAAUAGCUUUCAUAUAAAGGAGAAGGGUGGCGACAGAGAGCAGUAGAUACCAGCAUAGGUGGCAGAAGGCUGGUGGUGGCUCCUGGCCCAGGAAGCAAGACAUAGAUCAAGAGCAACUAUGAGAACACAGUCCAGGACUGUGAUCCUUGUGCAGACUCAGUUCGUGUGAAUGCAGGAGAUCCUGUAGAUCCCUGAUGUGGACCUAUCCUGGUUUACCCAACAUAGUUUGAAAGCUCAGGAAGAAAUGAGUGCUGGGGUGACUCAGAAGAUGAUUUAGAAAGCCAACAUCAUGGGUCAAUGGAAGUAGAGGGGACAAAGGCAAAGAUAGGUUGACAGAUAUUUUACCAGGAAGUAGCAAAGGGGCCAGGUGAAAGUUGGGUCCUAUUUGAGAUGUACAGUAGACAAAGAAUGGGCCAAGAGAUGAGAGGGUAAGGUUCAUGAGAGAAGUCUUUACCAGUGUCAUUUUAACAGGGUCUUGUGUUUUCUUUUUCAGGCCAGUGACAGAGGAAUCAAGCAGCCAUUGAGAAUAGCAAUGACAAUUCUCUAUCAUCUCCCCUUCUCACCAGACCAUUGAACAAAAUUGAUUCCAAGUAGAUGAAGCUGUGUUUUCUUGUCACUGGGAACAGCCAAUUAGAGAGAAGAAAGGCACCAGAGCUGCUGGUGCAGGAGCAUUUAGGUGGAGUUUCUGAUACAGCUGCGUGUCCUCUGCUUCUCAGAGGUCAACACUCUUUGACCCACUGUCUUUUCUGGCUACUGGAGUUAUGAAAACGCUCAUGUUCUCAGACAGGUUUGUGUUUAAAAAGAGAUCCCAGGACCAUAGAUUGUAACUAUUUCUAAAUUGUAACUGCUUUUAAUUGACGUGUACCAAUGGCACAUAUUUGCAGGACUAAUUCUGCUGCUAUCACAAGCAGGCUCUCAUUGCAGGAUAAUGAAAUCUGGGCAUUAAGCAUCUCCAUUGGCAUCUGGGCAUUUAGCAGUAUCUUAUUGCUUGGUGCACGGAUUGCUUUAUUGCUUCUUUGCAAUGAAGACAGAAAUGAGGAUGUAGAAUGUUUUUGAAAUAUCCAAUACAAUAUUAGUAGCCCAAGUCACACAGCUGUUUAUGCUAUAUGUGCCACCUAGCACAGCAAGACCGUCUUCUGUUAAAUCAGAGACAGGCCUGAAGAACUCGCACCUCCCUUUCAACUCGUGGAUGAGCAAAUCACAGGUCAAAGUUCUCCUAUCAGCUGUUAAGUCGUAGGUGACUUCGAAGUGCUCUGGCUGUUUUUGUCUCAUGUUUUUCUGACCCCUUCUGACAGGUAACAGUCACAUUGGUUUUGGUGACUCACUCUACCUCUCAGGUACUAACAUGGAAACCACUGUAAAUGUCAGUACACUGACUCUUCUUAUUACUACUGGAAGUGCACUUUGGUAGAAGAUGUAACCCAGAUCCUGGAGACAGAUAUUCCUGGGCAGCAUUUGUAAAACUCCACAACUCCCCACCACCCAUCUAUCAUCACUCCCUGCUUAGCCGGCUAGGUGAAGUUUGGUUCAGGCAGGAGAAAUUUAAAGAAUCCCAGAAACAAAUUAAAGUCUUAGUCUAUGAUGGCUUCCUGACACAAAGGCUACAUGGUGUCUGCCUUGUUCUUCUGGGUCAGUCUCCUUUUAUUGGCACCACGUAUGGCAAGUAUAUGCCUGCUUUAUUUCUGUGACUCAGUUUCUAUUGUGCCCCCAAGUCUUAUGUUAUCAUCCACUUGUCAUCAAAAAUUACUGUUUCCCUCAUCCCCUAUCAAACGCACUUGGUAUUACACGUGUAUCUUUCUGGCUAGUGUCUGGAACUUUGCCACAUCUCUAGAGUGCAUAAACCUAGGCUGUGUUUUCCAUUUACCAAACUGCACAUCUGUCAGGAGACCUGAGAGCUCUGUCAGGACAAAUAGCCUAGACACUUGAAAUGUCUUCAUGCCUGAUGCUCUGGAUACUUCAACCCUUUGACGGGUGUGUCUGUUUUUUAGGAACCAGCACUAUCCAACAGAGGAGACUAUUUUUGGGUCCCAAACAUGUGCUUCUUAGUGUUGUGGACCGUGACCUGAGCUAGGACACAGAGGAGGGAUAAGACUCCUAAGAAGCUAGCUUUCUGUCAUUGUGUCAGACUUCUAUGUGCAUUUUCUGUAUGGUCUGGAUCUGACAUCUGUCAAUCAUGUACAAAUGUGGAAAGAUUUGAGGGGAGACAUAUCCACAUGAGAAGAAAAAUAUGAUAAUAUUUCACAGAUAUAAUAUUCACAGAGGCAAGCUAAUGGGCAGCGCCUUCUGCCCUUUGGGUAGUUCUGUUAGGAGUACUUGCUGGCACCGUUGUUCUAUCUCUAAUACCUUACUUUGUCCCAAGAAAUGUCUGAAGGUGGGAAUCGAAAAACAAUUUUAAGAAGGGGGAAUCUGUGUGGUGAAGAAAAUAAGCUCAGGUAACGCUGGACCCAAAAACGUUUAUUUGCUGCACAGGCCCACUUAUCAUGACCUAUGUAUGCUGCUGCCUCUUAGGUGAUCAGGGUCAUGGAUAAGAGGCCAGGUAUGUCAAACUGGUAGUGACAUCCACAGACAAUAGGAGCUGCAACUGACUUGGAAGCUCUUCGAGUUAGUGCCUGUCAGGUAAGAUAUUGAAGAUAACCUUGAUCACCGAACCUCCAUAAUCCUAGAGUUCCUUCCCUUAUCCUCAGUGGUCACAAUUUAGGGGAUGAUAAUCAGAAGCUCUGUGUGAAUCCCAGGGAUCUCUCCUUUCCUGGAGACUUCUCUGGCUUAGAUCAGAUUGUGAAUAAGUCAAAAAGUCCAUCUCUGUGUGCUUUCUGUGGUGGUCUGGUGUGGCAGGUGCCAUCACCCAGUGCCUUCCAGGAUCCCUUCAGGUUGAAGACUGCCAGCUAGAGUUCAUCAGCCUUUUUUAGGCUUCACAUCAUCAGAGCCCUCAGGCUGUGGAGGUGAUGUUAACAGAAAGUUUACAGAGGGUACUAUUUUACACCAUUGGGCCUAGAGUAAGGUAGGUGACUUUCAUUAUCUUUUCUGCUCUCCUUUAUGACCUCUCCAGUGUCCCCUUCAGUCAUAUAGUAGCUUGCUUGCAAGCAUCCUUUCUCCUAAACUCUUGUAACUCAUUUGCCCCAUCCCCACUUUGUGAAGACAGGAUCCUCCUAGCUAUUUUCUGAGACACAACCUCUCUCAGACUUUUUCCUCACCUAGUCUACCAUUGUUCAGGGAUUCGCACCCACUACACUUUCCUACCCAAUGAGCUUCUAUAUAGUUAGAGUAGCCAUUUGGAAUAGAAACUUUGGAGCUUCACAGUGGAUUUUAUACUUUCACUAUCAAUGCUAUUUUAUGUACUCAUGGACUAUCACAAAUGAAAAAUCCAUGACAGAAUUAGAACAAGAAAACCAAUUAGCUCUAUAGCCUGAUUUUAUAACCCAUGUUCAUUAUCUACAUUGCUACAUUGAACUUUUCCCCAUCUCCUUUAUUCAGUCUUUCUUGUUUUCUCUUCUACACGUUACACUAUACCACAUGCUAAUUAGUUUUCUCUUGACUUGUCCAUCUAGCUGCCAGGAUCAAUUCCUUACUGCACAUGUCCAACCUGACCAUUACAUAUUGGUACCUUGAUUUCAAACACCUAGGAAAGGGUUUUUUUUCCUAUCCACUGAGUUCUAAGACAACCAGCAUUCUGCUGAAAACCCAAGCCAACUUCUCAUUCUCCAGAAGCAUCGAAGCACUUUAAAAGGAAUGUCUAAAUCAUCUGGUCUAUUAAGGCAUCAAAUUCCUCCACAAAUUGUACCAGACAUUUUUUCAUUGUGGAGAAACAGGGAUUUUGCAAAGAUGUCAAACCACAUAAGGCAGCAGGCACAACACAGCAUCAAAGACAUAAUUUGUGCUUGUCGUUCUGGGAGGCAGAAGUUACUAGGAACAUACUCAGAGAAUGAAGCAAAAUACAAACACCGAGAGCAGCUCUGCCAUGAUGGACAGGUAAGAGUUACUGUAGUAACUGCUGCACGUGCACAUCUACUUUUUCUAUCUCAUGCACAAAACAAGGCAGAUAAAAUCAGGAGAGCUCUGGUCAAAGGCUUACACUAAAACAUACAAUGUGCUUAAACUGGACAUUACAGUGCCUAAAUACUGAAAUCAUUGUGUAAUGGAAAUUAAAGUAACAAAGCAGGUGAAGACGAUAAGGAGAACGCAGAGUAUUUCUGUGAUCAACAUGGAAGUGAUGUGUGCUGAUUUGUCUUUUCUUCCUAGAAGAGAUUCCUUAUGCAAUGGCUCAACUGCAAGGCACAGUGCAGUUUAACAUACAAGGGCUCUCAAUAAGAGUUCAUGCUAAUACUUACGAUAGAAUAAAACUCCAGUAUAAUUUUAGCAAUCUUAACCAAGGGAUGAGGAAUUAUGAUAAUUCUUUUUCUGAAGGACUGAUAACAGGGCAAGGUGGUGGAUAUCUGCAAUCUGAGCUUUAAUAUUGUAGAAACAGUAGGGACAUGAAUUUAUGUUCAGCCCAAGCUAUACAGCAUGUUUCAGAGUACAGGGAAAGACCAAGUCUCACAAAACUAUUAUAGCAGUUAUAUGUGAUAACUGGCCAUGCAUCUGUCUAUGUUUGUAUCCAUCCAUUCAUCUAUCCACCCAGUUCUAUCAAUUUUGUCCUUAUCGUAAUUCUAUAAUAUUAACUGAUACCAAGAGAAACAGCACAUCAUUAUCUUGAAACAAUAUGAGGAUACUUUAAAACAGAGUUUAGACCAGAUAAUAAACAAUAUUUACUUUAGAUUAUUUAUAAAAUAAUCUCUGCACAAAUAUAUGCAUACUCUUUUAGAAGCUGCUUCUGGAUCUAUCCUCUGCCCUUCUUUUUUUCCAAGGCUGGUUGAGAGGAUUCAGGGUCCCCACCAAUGGGAAACCAGCAUCGUGUUCUAGCUGUGAGGAGAGCAGCCAAAUGUGUCCUGACGUUCAGGUGGAUUUGUGCAACAGGAUACUUGCCAGUCAUGAGCAGCAAACACGGUUCCAUUAAUCCACUUUAAGGCAAUGACUGAGACCGUGAUUCAACCUAAGUCUGCCUCACUUGCCCAAUAAUUCACUUUGUUGAUCAUUAUCCUGAAUGCCAUUUUAAUUCUGCUGAGCUCACAGAAUUACAAAGGCAGUUAAUGCCUAUGAUUUAAUUUUUUCUUUUUCCAUUUUAAUGUGUGCGUGUACAUGUUAUACAUAUGCAUAUAAGAGUUCAAAAUUGAUGCCAGGAAUCAAUCUCAACCAUUCUUCCACCUUUCUCCCUGGAGACAGUUCCCAGUCAAACUCCUACUGUUGCUAGGAUGCUUGUUGUGGGAUCCUUUCUAUCUUUCAAACCUGCUGUCCAGAGGCACAUUUCCCCACCCAAUACUUACUGCAAUCUUUCUAACCUAUCUUUCAUGGUGAUGAUCCCCGAUCUUUAGAGGGGGCAACAUACAUAUCUUAUUUAGAGCCCAACACACCUUACUAUCCCUUAGUUUUGACAUAUUAUGUGUUUGUUCAUUAACCACUGUCUGCUUCAAGAAUAAGCUUCCCUGAUCAUGGCUGAACACAGCACUAAUCUAUGAA